UUUUCUUUUAAUAAAUAAAAAGGGUACGAUGAGACCAUUUGUUUUUGUUUCAUUUUUUUUGCGUCUUUAAGAUUCAGUACUUUGUAAUGGUGACUGUGUUGCUAAAGUUUAAGCAUCAUGUUUUCUAAUAUUCUAUUUUUUUGUUCACUUUAUAACAUGUAGAUUGGCAAUGAUCUUUCUCAAUUUGUGGGGCCUCUUAUCUUGAAUCAACUUCUACAGUCUAUGCAACAAGGGGACCCUGCUUGGAUUGGAUAUGUGUAUGCCUUCUCGAUAUUUGUUGGUGUGUGACAACAAGGUACAUAGUCAGCUGAGCUAUGUUUUGAAAGAGCAAUUGAAGAGACACUGAGCUAUCCUCCUACUGCAUACUCUGCUUUCUGGUAUAUGUGUGUAUCAGCCCUUCAUGUCUUAAAGUCAACUUUCUUGCUCUGCCAAGUGUUUAACAUGUUCAAUUCAUGAUAUGCUGAGUUCAAAGAUGUCAUUUCAGGUGAGAAAACUAGAAGGAAAAGAGGAUUGCAGUAAGGUAAGUUUCUAAUACAAAUUUUUUUUGAUCUUAAUUUGUUUUGUGAUAAUUGACCAUGACUGUUUGAAAAUAAUUGUGUAUGUGUAAUUUUCUGUCUUUAGUAUAUAUAUACAAUUGUGUACAUAAUGUCUAAUUUUCUAUCUUUAGUAUAUAUAUACAAUUGUGUACAUAAUGUCUAAUUUUCUAUCUUUAGUAUAUAUAUAUAUACAAUUGUGUACAUAAUUGUAUAUCAACAUGUUUGGAAAUAAUUAAGAUGCUCUUCAUAUAUGUAAAGUACAAGUUAGUUUGGGUUGUUCAUAGCAUAGCAGCAUAUCUAAUUAGCUCAGCUUCAGCUGAUGCUUAUUUGUUAUACAUAUAUCUUUAUUAUAAGUUAUUACAAGAUCCUCAUUAGUAUUACAAUA